AUUGAACGCUGGCGGCAGGCCUAACACAUGCAAGUCGAGCGAGUGGCGGACGGGUGAGUAAUGUCUGGGGAACUGCCUGAUGGAGGGGGAUAACUACUGGAAACGGUGGCUAAUACCGCAUACUAUCGGAUGAACCCAUAUGGGAUUAGCUAGUGGGUGGGGUAAAGGCUCACCUAGGCGACGAUCCCUAGCUGGUCUGAGAGGAUGAUCAGCCACACUGGGACUGAGACACGGCCCAGACUCCUACGGGAGGCAGCAGUGGGGAAUAUUGCACAAUGGGCGCAAGCCUGAUGCAGCCAUGCCGCGUGUAUGAAGAAGGCCUUAGGGUUGUAAAGUACUUUCAGCGGGGAGGCGUUACCCGCAGAAGAAGCACCGGCUAACUCCGUGCCAGCAGCCGCGGUAAUUC
rnacentral:rRNA from 1 species